rnacentral:rRNA from 1 species
ACAUGCAAGUGGAGCGACGAACCAGGCUUCGGCCUGGGGCAGAGCCGCGAACGGGUGAGUAACACGUGGGUAACGUGCCCCGAUGAUCGGGACAACCCGAGGAAACUCGGGCUAAUACCGAAUGUGCCCUCCGGCCACAAGGCCGCUGGGGAAGGGAAGCUUCGGCCUCCGCAUCGGGAUCGGCCCGCGGCCCAUUAGCUUGUUGGUGAGGUAACGGCUUACCAAGGCGACGAUGGGUAGCUGGUCUGAGAGGACGAUCAGCCACACUGGGACUGAGACACGGCCCAGACUCCUACGGGAGGCAGCAGUGGGGAAUCUUGCGCAAUGCGCGAAAGCGUGACGCAGCAACGCCGCGUGGGGGAAGAAGGCCUUCGGGUUGUAAACCCCUUUCAGUUGGGACGAAGCUCCGUCGGUUAAUAGCCGGCUGGAGUGACGGUACCUUCAGAAGAAGCCCCGGCUAACUACGUGCCAGCAGUCGCGGUAAUACGUAGGGGGCUAUCGUUG